rnacentral:rRNA from 1 species
UACGGAGGGUGCAAGCGUUAUCCGGAUUCACUGGGUUUAAAGGGUGCGUAGGUGGGCAAGUAAGUCAGUGGUGAAAUCUCCGGGCUUAACCCGGAAACUGCCAUUGAUACUAUUUGUCUUGAAUACUGUGGAGGUCAGCGGAAUAUGUCAUGUAGCGGUGAAAUGCUUAGAUAUGACAUAGAACACCAAUUGCGAAGGCAGCUGGCUACACAAAUAUUGACACUGAGGCACGAAAGCGUGGGGAUCAAACAGGAUUAGAAACCCCAGUAGUCC